rnacentral:rRNA from 1 species
GACGAACGCUGGCGGCGUGCUUAACACAUGCAAGUCGAACGGGUCUGCCCUGUUUUUUGCGGGGUGGGUCAGUGGCGAACGGGUGAGUAACACGUGAGUAACCUGCCCCUCACUUCUGGAUAACCGCUUGAAAGGGUGGCUAAUACGGGGUGUUCUGGCUGUGCCGCAUGGUGUGGCUGGGAAAGAUUCACUUUUGUGGUGUUUUGGUGGGGGAUGGGCUCGCGGCCUAUCAGCUUGUUGGUGGGGUGAUGGCCUGCCAAGGCUUUGACGGGUAGCCGGCCUGAGAGGGUGGGCGGUCACACUGGGACUGAGAUACGGCCCAGACUCCUGCGGGAGGCAACAGUGGGGGGUAUUGCACAAUGGGCGGAAGCCUGAUGCAGCGACGUCGCGUGAGGGAUGGAGGCCUUCGGGUUGUGAACCUCUUUCGCCGGUGAAGAAGGUCCUGCUCUUUGUGGUGGGGUUGACGGUAGCCGGGUUAUGAAGCGCCGGCUAACUACGUG